UUAUGUUCUAAUAUGUUCGAACAACCUUCCAAAUUGGUUUUUUAAAUGGUGCAAAUCAUACGGUCCACCAUUGGAAAUACUUCCUCCAAUUUUUAAGAGUUUAUAUACUCAAUGGGUAGACAUAUCACCAAAGAUUAUUUCCUUACAAAAAGAUAAUAUCUUUUAUGAUGGCAUAGCAGCCAUGCUUUUAUUUAUAGAAUUUUCAAUCCCUUGGAUAAUGAAAUGGGAUGUGGAAACUAGUCAUACCGAAGAAGGAUUCCCAUGUCUCAAUAGAAUUUUUAUACAAAAUUCUGGAGUAAAUUACUCCAACCAGAUCAACAAGGCAAAAUCUAUGGCGAAGAACUAAUAGAGGAAAUCAAGGCCAAAAUUGAGACUUAUGCCAAUCAAGAGGUAGCAAAAGUUGCAGUGGAAGAAUUGAGCCCAUUCCAACAAGUUACCAGAAAACUCAAAUGAAGAAAGGAGCAAUCUCCAAAAAAGAAAUCCUCGCCUCGUAUUUUGAGGAAAUAAAGAAAGAUUUAGCAAGAUUUUGAGGUUGAAGUUAGCGAUAAUAUAUCAAUGACUUCCAUAGGUAAUACUUCAGAAGAAGAGACCUGUAUAGCAGGUGAAGCUCAAAGAAGCCAGACUGACAAUCUUAGUCUAGAAGAAAUUGAAGAAUUCCUGGCAAAGAUGAAGGAAGGAGCAGAAGAAUCUUCUGCGAGAAAAAACAACAAAGGGAAAAAUAAAGUAUAAAUUAUUAAAGGCACAGAUCAAUUAUCGGGGUGAUAGAGACAAACAUUAAUAAAGUAAUGAACCCCUCCAUUAUUGAAGAAUCUACUUUUAUAAAGUAGUUUGUCUAGUUGUAAUAAUUUAGUUUUUGUUUUUUAUCUUGUCGGCGGACUACAUUAUUAUGCCGGCCAUAGUACUGAUAGAUUUUUGUUUUUUUUAGAACCAAUCCAUUAUAUAAGGAUCUGAUUUCUUUAGUGAGAGGCAGGCUUUAGCCAACGCUCUCUCUUCUCUCUAACUUCUUUCUUGUACAAAUACUCUUUGUAAAAAUUUCAUAUUAUAAAUCAGAAAAGGUCAUUUGGCCACAAACAGGCGGUCUCAGUGAGCACCAGUGCGGGAGAGGCAUCUGAAAGUCAUAUCUUAAGGUCCAUUUGCUAAAUGCUGGAUGAGUCAGCAUAUCAGAUUCUGUCGAUAUUCAAGGCAUGUCAAUUGUCAUGCACUCGAGGUGGUUCCAUAGCAGGCAGUGCAGAUCGCAGCUAGUGGCGCACCCUCUUUCCAGCUGACUUGGUGAGCCCCACAUCAUUUCGGGGUCCUGUACCUUUUGUAUCUUUUGUUCACCUUCUUAUCAUGUUUUGAGGUAUACCCGGGGCCUUGUUGCCGGUGCUUUUGUAGCACUCUCUUUUGUAUCUUCUUAGAGGCUCCGUAGACAUUAUGUGGAUUGUAUAUGAGUGUUGGGAAGGUCAAUGGAUUAUGUUGUGUGUUGGACUCUUCUUCCACUAAAUCGUAAGGUGUAUGUAUUUUGAAACUUAACAAUGAUGUAACUAAUGAAGUGGCUUAGU